GAUGAACGCUAGCGGCAGGCCUAAUACAUGCAAGUCGGACGGGAUUGAGAAGCUUGCUUUUCAUGAGAGUGGCGCACGGGUGCGUAACACGUAUGUAACCUACCUUAAUCAGGGGGAUAGCCUCUCGAAAGAGAGAUUAACACCGCAUAAAAUCAAUUUAUGGCAUCAUAGAAUGAUCAAAUAUUUAUAGGAUUAAGAUGGGCAUGCGGAACAUUAGCUAGUUGGUAAGGUAACGGCUUACCAAGGCUACGAUGUUUAGGGGAUCUGAGAGGAUGACCCCCCACGCUGGUACUGAGACACGGACCAGACUCCUACGGGAGGCAGCAGUAAGGAAUAUUGGUCAAUGGGCGCAAGCCUGAACCAGCCAUGCCGCGUGCAGGAAGACGGCCCUACGGGUUGUAAACUGCUUUUGUACCGGAAUAAACCUUUGUAUGUAUACGAAGCUGAAUGUACGGUAAGAAUAAGGAUCGGCUAACUCCGUGCCAGCAGCCGCCGUAA
rnacentral:rRNA from 1 species